GCUAAUUUCCUUAUGUGUUUGUGUAUAUAGUAGCAUAUUGUGCCUUUUAAAAAGUGGUCUGUUAUUGUGCAUUUAGUUUUUCAAUUCAGUUCAACAGAAUUUUUUUUUGAGUACCUACAUGAAUUCCAGGUACUCUGAAGGUUCAUUCUGUCCUUUCUUGAAUGUUUAUGUAGUAUUCAUAAUGUGUGAAGCAGAGUCAUAGCCUGUAUGAUGUUUUUGAUUAAUCUUUUAACUACAUUACUGGCAGUUGAAUUUGAGAAGGAGAUAGCCUCUACCCAGUGGGGAAAGUGGUCUCCUAUUAUUUACAAGUAUCUCAGGAGACUAAUUGGGGCAAUUUAGUAUAGUUAAUUUGAAUAUUUGGGAAUGGUUUUAGUCAUGGAUCCCUUCCUGUCAAGGGUGAUUUUUUUCUUUUAGGGUUUGUUUACUAGUUUUUUUACAUAUUAAGUAACUAUCUGUAACUUGUUUGGCUAAGGUAUAAAGUUUUAUACACCAAUAGACUUUGAGAACUGUAUUACACAUAGCAUGGGGUCCCCAGUGGGUUUCCUGAUAUAGUUGAGACAAGACCUCCCUCUUGAGGAGUUUAGAUAAACAUUUUUCUUUGGUAACUUCCCUUUUUCUUUUGGGUUUUUUUUUUUUUU